rnacentral:rRNA from 1 species
AUUGAACGCUGGCGGUAGGCCUAACACAUGCAAGUCGAACGAGUGGCGGACGGGUGUGUAAUGUCUGGGAAACUGCCUGGUGGAGGGGGAUAACUACUGGAAACGGUAUCUAAUACCGUCUACCAACAGAUGUGCCCAUAUGGGAUUAGCGUGUUGGUGGGGUAAGGGCUCACCAAGGCGACGGUCCCUAGCUGGUCUGAGAGGAUGACCAGCCACACUGGAACUGGGACCCGGUCCAGACUCCUACGGUGGGCAGCAGUGGGGAAUAUUGCACAAUGGGCGCAAGCCUGAGGCAGCCAUGCCGCGUGUAUGAAGAAGGCCUUCGGGUUGUAAAGUACUUUCAGCGGGGAGGCGUUACCCGCAGAAGAAGCACCGGCUAACUCCGUGCCAGCAGCCGCGGUAAUUC